AGCAGCAGCCGCGGGAAUACGUAGGUGGCAAGCGUUGUCCGGAAUUAUUGGGCGUAAAGGGCUCGCAGGCGGUUUCUUAAGUCUGAUGUGAAAGCCCCCGGCUCAACCGGGGAGGGUCAUUGGAAACUGGGAAACUUGAGUGCAGAAGAGGAGAGUGGAAUUCCACGUGUAGCGGUGAAAUGCGUAGAGAUGUGGAGGAACACCAGUGGCGAAGGCGACUCUCUGGUCUGUAACUGACGCUGAGGAGCGAAAGCGUGGGGAGCGAACAGGAUUAGAGACCCCUGUAGUCCCUGUCUCUUAUAC
rnacentral:rRNA from 1 species